GUUAUCGGGGUUCGAUUAAGCCAUGCGAGUCGAGAGGGUUCGGCCCUCGGCGUACUACUCAGUAACACGUGGAUAACCUGCCCUAAGGAAGGGGAUAACCUCGGGAAACUGAGGAUAAUACCCUAUAGGUUACAGAUGCUGGAAUGCCCUGUAACCGAAAGCUCCGGCGCCUUAGGAUGGAUCUGCGGCCGAUUAGGUUGUUGUUGGGGUAACGGCCCAACAAGCCGAUAAUCGGUACGGGUUGUGGGAGCAAGAGCCCGGAGUUGGAUUCUGAGACACGAAUCCAGGCCCUACGGGGCGCAGCAGGCGCGAAAACUUUACAAUGCGGGAAACCGUGAUAAGGGAACCCCGAGUGCCUGUAUAUGCAGGCUGUCCAGGUGUCUAAAAAACACCUGAAGAAAGGGCCGGGCAAGACCGGUGCCAGCCGCCGCGGUAAUACCGGCGGCUCGAGUGGUGGCCACUUUUAUUGGGCUUAAA
rnacentral:rRNA from 1 species